rnacentral:sRNA from 1 species
UUAAUCUGAAGUCUGACGAGGAUGAGAACCUCGGGGAGACGAAGGUUCGACUCGAGCGAAGCGAGAACGUUGCGUCAGCAACGGCCCGCAGAGCGAGCCACGCAGUGGCGAGUCAUCAUAUCACCGACCA